AUUGAACGCUGGCGGCAUGCCUUACACAUGCAAGUCGAACGGCAGCACGGGUGCUUGCACCUGGUGGCGAGUGGCGAACGGGUGAGUAAUACAUCGGAACGUACCUUAUCGUGGGGGAUAACGCAGCGAAAGCUGUGCUAAUACCGCAUACGCCCUGAGGGGGAAAGCGGGGGAUCGAAAGACCUCGCGCGCUUAGAGCGGCCGAUGCCUGACUAGCUUGUUGGUGGGGUAAAAGCCCACCAAGGCGACGAGCAGUAGCUGGUCUGAGAGGACGAUAAGCCACACUGGGACUGAGACACGGCCCAGACUCCGACGGGAGGCAGCAGUGGGGAAUUUUGGACAAUGGGGCAACCCUGAUCCAGCAAUGCCGCGUGAGUGAAGAAGGCCUUCGGGUUGUAAAGCUCUUUUGUCAGGGAAGAAACACCGGCUCUAACACAGUCCGGGAAUGACGGUACCUGAAGAAUAAGCACCGGCUAACUACGUGCCAGCAGCCGCCGUAA
rnacentral:rRNA from 1 species